UCGGGUAGAAAUUCUCUUGGACAGAUUGCGAAUUUUAUAAAACUAAACAUUAUUUACUAGGUACAAAUUACUGAACUAGUGGAAAAUAGUACGAAUAGUGCACAGUUUAACAGUUUAAUCACAGACAAAGAUUAAUAGCUAUUUCUCACGAGAUUAAGAGCGAAUAUCACAGCUAGUUGAACGCAGUGCGUGAUACAGGCCAUAAUUCGUGCAGAAGUACGUACACUGAGGCAGAUAAAACUAACUUACCGUACAGGACCGCUUUCCGGAUAAAACGGGAUUACGAAGAUACUAAAC